GAUGAACGCUGGCGGCGUGCCUAAUACAUGCAAGUCGAGCGAACAGACGAGGAGCUUGCUCCUUUGACGUUAGCGGCGGACGGGUGAGUAACACGUGGGUAACCUACCUAUAAGACUGGGAUAACUUCGGGAAACCGGAGCUAAUACCGGCUAAUAUUUCGAACCGCAUGGUUCGAUAGUGAAAGAUGGCUCUGCUAUCACUUAUAGAUGGACCUGCGCCGUAUUAGCUAGUUGGUAAGGUAACGGCUUACCAAGGCAACGAUCCGUAGCCGACCUGAGAGGGUGAUCGGCCACACUGGAACUGAGACACGGUCCAGACUCCUACGGGAGGCAGCAGUAGGGAAUCUUCCGCAAUGGGCGAAAGCCUGACGCAGCAACGCCGCGUGAGUGAUGAAGGUCUUCGGAUCGUAAAACUCUGUUAUUAGGGAAGAACAAACGUGUAAGUAACUGUGCACGUCUUGACGGUACCUAAUCAGAAAGCCACGGCUAACUACGUG
rnacentral:rRNA from 1 species